AGAGUUUGAUCCUGGCUCAGAAUCAACGCUGGCGGCGUGCCUAACACAUGCAAGUCGAGCGGGAAAGGGGGCUUCGGCCCCUGAGUAUAGCGGCGGACAGGUGAGUAACACGUGGGUAAUUUGCCCUUGGGUGUGGAGUAACUCAGGGAAACUUGAGCUAAUACCGCAUGACAUCCUCUUCUCACAGGAGUCGAGGAUCAAAGCCGGGGACCCUUCGGGGCCUGGCGCCAGAGGAGAAGCCCGCGCCCGAUUAGCUAGUUGGUGAGGUAAUGGCUCACCAAGGCUUCGAUCGGUAGCCGGCCUGAGAGGGCGGACGGCCACACUGGGACUGAGACACGGCCCAGACUCCUACGGGAGGCAGCAGUGGGGAAUUUUUGUCAAUGGGGGAAACCCUGAGCAAGCAACGCCGCGUGGAGGACGAAGACCUUCGGGUUGUAAACUCCUGUCGGAGGGGACGAAAGCGGUCGAGGCUAAUAUCCUCGGCUGUGACGGUACCCUACGAGAGC
rnacentral:rRNA from 1 species